rnacentral:precursor_RNA from 1 species
GAAAUUGGACCAUUAUCUUACAUCACACACAGAGUUAACUCAAAAUGGACUAAUUUUUCCACUAGUUAGUCCAUUUCAAGUUAACUCUGUGUGUGAUGUAGUCUAGAAACUCUGGAGGCU